rnacentral:lncRNA from 1 species
UCAGGGACAACCCUGUGAUCAUGGUUUUGGUCACAUAGCUUCCAAGUGAGUGUUGUGCAAACAUUUGCUAGGAUCUCUCGGGGAGCCUGUUAGAAAAGAAACUCCUGAGCCUGCUCCAGAGCUUCUGUUCAGCAGGCCUGAGGUGGGACCAUACACCUGUCUUUUCAGCAAGCCCCCCCCCACCUCUGAGGAUGCACCCCAAAGCUAGAGAAUUCCUGCUCUGAGCCAUCUCUGAAAGCACCAAGAGCCAGGGCCAGGGAAGCUGGGCUGGAGGAAGCUGUCUGGGAGCCCAGGAGGCAAGCAGAAAACCGCCAGGACCGCCCCACGCUGGGGGAGCAGCAGGCACGGCCCCUACCAACACCCCCUGGCACCUCGCAAAGCUAGAGCCCGCCCGGUCCCCUCCCCGGAGCGCCCUGGUCUUUGGUUCGUAUUCAGCACAUCUUCAGAAACAGUGAUAGAAAAAUGCUGGUUUCUGACUCCACCAGCUCACGGAGGAGAUGCCAGCUCACGGAGGAAAAUCUGGAAGGUGUUGAAGCAUAGACGCUGGAACAUAAAAUGACUCAUGAUCUCACUGGGAGAAGGGCUGGGAACAUCGUGGGCUCUCUUCUCCCCGCGCUCCUCUCUCCGGGUCUCUGUUUCCCUCAUUCCACGAUGUUUAGAACCAUCGGCGCACUACAUCAGACUAGAGGUCUGGGGUCACCCGACCAUCCCGCCACAAGCCCCUCCGAGGCAUCACUGUGUCCAGAUUUUGCAAACUGCACCUCCUGAAGGGGCUGGGGUCUGUCCACUUCGCCCCAUCUGCCGUGGCAGCACUUCCUCCGUGGUUCGCACCCCCACAGCAGCCUCCUGGGAAGGCACCUCCCUGGGGCCCCUCUCAGUCCACGGUGUGGAUAUGGCAGCAAGCUAUGCAUUUUGCAUAUAUUAGCAAAUCCAUGAGGCAGGUGCUGUCUUCAUUGUACAGGUCAGGAAGAUUCCUGCAGCUGCUGAGUUAGUACUUUUAAGAAAGUACUGGAUUCCCUCUCACAAUGGGACUUUGAUUUUUUUAAGAAAAAGGUUUCAUAAGUUUUCAAAUAACCUGGAGCAGUUGAGCAAACUUAAUGUGCAGCGUGGUCCCUGCUGGCUGGGUUUGAGGGGCUGGGUCUCUCUGAGUGGAUGCUGGUGAGGUGCAGAGGAAGAAGAAAAGGUGCCUGAGGGCCUGUGUGGAAGGCCUGUCACACAGCACAUCCUGGGAAAUCUGUCCAGGAAGCAGCCAGGCGGGCAUCAGCCAGGCGGGCAUCAGCAUCUUCACUGUGCAGAUGAGAAACUGAGGCCGCAGAGGUGAAGGGACAUGCCCAGGAUCACUAAGCGUUUCAGCAUCUCUAUAAAACCCUCACAGGUAUGUGAACCAUAGAUCAUUUGAAUCGUCUAUUGUGCUUUUAGGCUGUUUUCAAUUUUUCUUUUUAUAAAUGAUGCAGCAGAGUAUCUUUAUGCAGAGACCGUUUCCAUACUUCCCCCUGUGCAGAAGGAAAAGUAGGCAGAAGAAAGAUUAACUUGGUCAAAGCUUUUAAAAUCUGAUUUAAUACUUCUUAAGAAUGAUGCACCUUAUGAAACAACUUUAUAUCUGUUGAAAAACCUAGUUCUUUUUUUAAUAUUGUUUUAAAAAAUGACUUGUUCUGAACAAUAUCCUGUGCCUUUCAGAAGACAGCGACGGAUAUGAAAGGAGAUUUGUUCUCUCCAAGCUCUUAGGAGGCGAUCUGGCUCAGGAAACAGACACAUCAGAUCCGAGCAUGUAUCUGAUGGUUGCUAUGGGAACAAGUCAUUUAACAGCCACUCAGCUAAAGCAUUGAUCAAUAAGGAAGGGGGCAGGAGGGAAAUAAAUUAGUUGGUGUCUGAAUAGCCCUGAGAGAGAGCAAUAAUGCGUCCCCUUCCCAUGGCAGGGGCCCGGGCAGGAGGCAGGGGCGAAGUCUCGUCCAUCCACGCUGGGAUGUGUGGGGUAGGAGGGCAGAGGGGGCAGAGAACAGAAUCAUAUUGGGGUGAGAAACCUGCUCCCCAAACCAGAUAUGGGGCAAGUGAGGCCUUAGACAAGGCUGGGGGCAGGGCUCCCAGGGAUGGGGGCACGGCUGGUCCCGCUUCUCCACGCUCCUGUGAUGUGCUUGCCGGGCCUGCUGGGAUACCCUGUGGCACCCCAUCGCUCUAGUGGGGAGUUCCGGUCUAGAGAGGAGCCGUGACUCCUUCCAGGCACAUGGUCAACCCCACUUGUCUUCUGGGGGCUCCCAGCCUGGCAGGGGAGAAAGGCAAAGGCCCUCACGGGGUCGUUCAUUGAUUCAUCCACAAAUACUUCCUGAGCCUGUCUGAGGGACCAUGCUCAGGCCUGGGCAGACAGCAGAGACCCAAGGAAAGAACAGAACUUGGGCUCUGGGGCCAAAUCGUGGCUCGGCCACUUGGCAGGCUCUUCACCUGUAACGUGUUGAGAAAGUGACGUAAAGUCAGAGCCAGGAGUGGGCAUCCUGAGUGCUCAGCUGCCAUUGCUGGGACUCAUAAUCGCAAGGGAAGGCAGAGACAGAAGUGAGGGUUCCUAAGUGGAAGGUACUCAUAAAGCCUUGGCUGAAUACGUAUGGCUGACACAGGGGUGUCUGUGUUUGCCACCAAAGGGUGGCCCUGGGCUGGGAUUACACACGGAGAGAAGGCGGGAGGAAAGUCAGGGAGCCUCAGACCAUUGGAGGCUGCAUCUAUUGACCUCUGAUCCCCACAGGCAUGGGUGUGGGUGUGGGUGUGGGUGUGGCUGGCUCAAGGGUCAGUGCCCACCAGAGAACUGGACCAUAGAUGAGCUGGACUUUUCCAACCCUGCCAGCCUGGGCCAUCUCAAGGGUGCUAUUGGUUGUGAGGGGAGGAGGCCCUCUUUUCUGAGUCCCUCCCCAGAUGAGUGCAAGCUGGGACACAUAUACGAGAAGGAUCCUAAUAACAUGCAUGCCAAAAUCCUGCUGUCCCAGCCUUUGGUUCCAGCAGUUUGACUUCUGGAAGUCUUUCCCAAGGAAAUAACCUUGAACCCACGGUGUCUGCUGUAGCAUUCUUCAUAAGAGUGACUGCAAACAACCUCUAAGCCCCAAAUCAUGUAUUGGUUAAAAAAAUAAUGAUUCCUUUUCUUGCUUUAACUCAGGUGAUCCCUAGAAACACAGCCAGUGGCCCGGAAGCUGCACUGUUUUGUGCACCGCAGGGAUGGGCACAGAUGGGGCUGCCUGCCCUCCUCCUGGAAGGAGGGAGAACCCAGUCUGGCCUGGAGUGGUCAAGAGCUAACUCUAGACUCAGCAAGACCUACUUCUCUCUCCUGCCCCUACUUCCUUGCUGCUGACCUGGGCAAGUCGCUGAAGCCUCUCCGUGCCUCAGUCUGCUCGUGCGUAAGAUGGGCACAGGGCACACUGCCUACUUGAUUGGGCUCAACCACGUGCAGUAAGUAGCUGGUGUCUGGCAAGAGCCCUCAGGAAACAGUAACCCCAUUAAUUCAAAUGCACGUGCCUGGAACAGGCUCUGGGGGGCCAGCCCGGGAGUCCCACUCCAUGAUGGCCACCCUGGGGCCUGGCAGGCUGGGCUGGCAUCCCAGGCCCACCGGAUACUGGCUGUGCACCCCGGCCAGGCCACACAUCUCUGAGCCUCACUUUCCCGUGUGUGAGAUGAGGCUAGAAGCUGCUUUCUCUUGCGUGUGUGGGGAUUGGCGGUGACAACACGGCCAGGAGCCCAGGCCCAGCCUACGCGAGCAGCCUCGCUCCAGGCCACACGCCCCACUCCUGACAGCUCUGUGCAGCGAGUUCGUGCGCGAGCGGGUGGCUGUCUGCCAGGCGAGGGGCGCGGGUGCCCAAGAGGGCUUCACUGCUUCUGGAAAGAUCACAAGGAAAAACCACCUCCGCGGCGGGACGCUACCCGCGGGCCGCUGCGGUCCCGCUCGCGGCCGGCAGGGGGCAGGAUGUCCCCGCGAGUCGCCCGUGUCUUCGGGUGUCCUCAGGUCACCCCGCACCGCUCGCAGCCUCCGCGCCUAGUUAAAGGGCGACGCACUCAUUUCUGCAAAGAAGGAGCCCAGCGGCCCCUCCCCGGGGAACUCUUUCCAUCAACUCGGGGCCUAAUAAUUUACAUUUAAUUUGUUAGCGGUUUAAUGUUUAAUUUUAAAAGCGAGAUGAUUCAUUACCAUAUUAAUAAAUAAUAACAUUUAUUAUUCUCCUAA